rnacentral:sRNA from 1 species
CGGUUUCGAUCUGCUGCGGGCAGAUGAAGUGGAUGUGGGUGUCGAGGGCUCCGGCGGUGAGGAUGUGACCCUCGCCAGCGAUCGCCUCGGUGCCGGGCCCGAUGACGAUCGUGACGCCAUCGGUGAUGUCGGGAUUGCCCGCCUUGCCGAUCGCGCAGAUGCGGCCGUCGCGCAGGCCGAUGUCGGCCUUGACCACCCCCCACCAAUCGAGGAUCAGGGCGUUGGUGAUCACCGUGUCGACGGCGCCAGCGGCGCGGGUGGUCUGUGCCUGGCCCAUGCCGUCGCGG